rnacentral:rRNA from 1 species
GUAAAUAAUAAAGGGCGUAUGGUGGAUGCCUAGGCUCUCAGAGGCGAUGAAGGACGUGAUAAGCUGCGAAAAGCUCCGUUUAGGUGCAAAUAACCUUUGAUGCGGAGAUCUCCGAAUGGGAUAACCCAAUAUGUUGAAGACAUAUUAUACCGUAAGGUAGGCAAACGCAGGGAACUGAAACAUCUAAGUACCUGCAGGAGAAGAAAACAAACGUGAUUCCCCCAGUAGCGGCGAGCGACCGGGGAUAAGCCCAAACCGUUAUUGUUUCGGCAGUAGCGGGGUAGUAGGACUGCGACAUUGAUGAAAUAAAUGAAAUGGAACACCUUGGAAAAUGUGAUCACAGAGGGUGAUAAUCCCGUACAUGUAAGUUUAUGAAUCAUAGCAGACUCCUGAGUAAGUCGGGACACGUGUAAUCCUGACCGAAUCCGCCGGGACCAUCCGGCAAGGCUAAAUACUCCUGAGAGACCGAUAGUGAACCAGUACCGUGAGGGAAAGGUGAAAAGCACUUCGAACAGAAGAGUGAAAUAGUCCCUGAACCCAUACGCCUACAAGCAGUCGGAGCCGCUUCGUGCGGUGACGGCGUGCCUUUUGCAUAAUGAGCCUACGAGUUACUCAUCACCAGCGAGGUUAAGUACUUCAGGUACGUAAGCCGAAGCGAAAGCGAGUCUGAAUAGGGCGUCAAGUUGGUGGUGGUAGACGCGAAACCUUAGUGAUCUACCCAUGGGCAGGGUGAAGGUUUGGUAACACAAACUGGAGGCCCGAACCGGUAAACGUUGAAAAGUUUUCGGAUGACCUGUGGGUAGGGGUGAAAGGCCAAUCAAACUGGGAAAUAGCUCGUACUCUCCGAAAUGCAUUUAGGUGCAGCCUCUGUUGUUUUGUUCUAGAGGUAGAGCUACUGAUUGGAUGCGAGGGCUUCACCGCCUAUCAAAUCCGGCCAAACUCCGAAUGCUAGAACAUGAAGACAGGGAGUGAGCCAGCGGGUGCUAAGGUCCGUUGACGAAAGAGGGAGAACUCAGACCAUCAGCUAAGGUCCCCAAUUAUAUGCUAAGUUGGAAUAAAAACGGGGUGGGACUGCUUAGACAGCUAGGAUGUUGGCUUGGAAGCAGCCAUUCAUUUAAAGAGUGCGUAACAGCUCACUAGUCGAGCGGUCCUGCAUGGAUAAUACGCGGGCAUAAGCAUAUAACCGAAGCUAUGGGAUUGUAGAUGAUACAAUCGGUAGGAGAGCAUUCCAUUCAGUAUAGAAGCAGUAUCGUGAGGUAUUGUGGAGCGGAUGGAAAAGCAAAUGUAGGCAUAAGUAACGAUAAUGCGGGUGAGAACCCCGCACGCCGAAAGAUCAAGGAUUCCCCGGCAAUGUCAAUCAUCCGGGGGUAAGUCGGAUCCUAAGGGUAAGCCGAGUGGCGAUCCCGAUGGUAAACAGGUUAAUAUUCCUGUACUGAUCAUAACUGCGAUGCAGCGACGCAGAGGUGACACUGCUGCGUACUGACGGAAUAGUACGUUGAAACCCGUAUUCUUUGAUACCGGUAGUGAAGCACGCCGGUAGAGAUGAAAGGUGAUAGUACCGCAAUGCUUCGGUUGCGCGGAUAAUGCAGGUAAGCUGACUGCCAAGAAAACCUGCUAAGCUUCAGGUAAUGAUCAUCCGUACUGUAAACGGACACACGUGAUCAGGUAGAAAAUACUAAGGCGCUCGAGAGAUUCAUGGUUAAGGAACUAGGCAAAAUGGUCCUGUAACUUCGGGAUAAAGGACGCUCUUGUGAAAGAGCCGCAGAUAAUAGGCCCAGGCGACUGUUUACCAAAAACACAUGGCUAUGCUAAUUCGCAAGAAGAUGUAUAUGGCCUGACACCUGCCCGGUGCCGGAAGGUUAAGAGGAGAGCUCAGAGGUAACUCGAAGGUUUGAAUUGAAGCCCCGGUAAACGGCGGCCGUAACUAUAACGGUCCUAAGGUAGCGAAAUUCCUUGUCGGGU